rnacentral:rRNA from 1 species
AUGCCGGAUUGGCCACCGGCUCAAAGGGAACACGCGGACGUCCUGGUCCUGCUCCUCCCGACCAAGUUGAUGUGGCGCGGGGCGGCGGCCUCAGAGCCUGCGGUUACAAUCGAGAGCUCACGGCAUCAGGAAAUGAGUUCCAAUAUUGGUGUGACGAGUCCCUUGACUGAAGGAGGAGGAGAACGUCAAGGGAGGCAUGAGCCGGUGGUGGCAGCAUGA